rnacentral:lncRNA from 10 species
CGUCCGCGAGGCUCCCGGGCCCGCCGGCGUCUGUGGGGAACUGGGGCGCUGGUCGGUGCGCGGGCUGGGACGCUAAGUCAUGAGGAAUUAAACUGGGAAACCUGGCGUGGGUCCAGGCGCCUUCCAGGAGGCAUCCGGCGCGGCCCGGACGUGCUUCUACCCAGAACCACCCCCUCCAGGCCGGGGUGCACUUAACGGGGCUAUACAAAGAGUCUGGUGGGUGACUGUGGGCCUCAUCCCUAUCCCGGGGUCUGAUAGGGAAGACUCUCGGGCCCCGCAGGGAAUAUCUGGCUAGUGCACCCUCGGCGGGAGCGCCACUCUCCCUCCUUGGGCGGCGCCCCCCACCUCUCAUCCCGCCCAAUCCGUUUUGCAAAGUCGGCCAAAACAAAAACAAACUUGGAGCGCUGAUAGACACUGUUAUUGCCCAUCUGAACUCGUCAACUGAGAAGGAAAGAGAUGGUUUAUGCUGUGAAUAAAAUACAGUUGUGCUGUGAUGUAAAUCCCCUCAUCCUGGAGCAGCUGAGCAAGGUCUAAGGCAGGAAGAACCUUCAAGCAGGUCAUGGCUUGCAGGCUCAACUCUGCCUGGCAGUGGCAAGGGCCAGGGCCAGUGACUGAAGCAACAAACUGCCAGAUGACUGCAGCUCAAGCCAAUGCACAAAGCCACUGCAACAAGAGAGGAAAUUCUUCCAUUUCCAAGUGUGUCGAUUUCUCCCCAUCAAGGAAAACAGCUAAGGCAAUGUGUUGAUAUUUUCUUUGACCAAGUCAUCAGGAGUCACAUAGACAUACAGCACUCAAGAAGUGGCUGUAACUAAAGGCACAUCUCGUUCAUCUACAACCCUUGUAAUCCCAACCUUUGUCUGAUGCACAAACCCUUCCCUAGUUCUCCCCACCACCACCACUGCACCUCCAAGUGGGGACAACGAAUUGUUUCAUUUGCAUGUGGUUUUUCUCAUGAAAAAUAUCAUUAACAUGAGACAGCCCCAAACCAAGGAAACCAGAAGUGGGGUUUGUGCUUGGUCUUACUGAGAGCUUUCCCUACUUGACCAGACCCCAGCAUUGUUCUAGAUUUGUCUCUUGUGGGCUACAGGAAUGCAAACAUUUUGUAGUUUCCUCUUUUUUGUUUUCUUAAUGGCUUGAUGAGCCACACAUGUUUCUCUAAAUGCAUGAUUUUAAAUUCACACAA